GACGAACGCUGGCGGCGUGCCUAACACAUGCAAGUCGAACGGAAAGGCCCUGCUUUUGUGGGGUUCCCGAGUGGCGAACGGGUGAGUAACACGUGAGUAACCUGCUCUUGACUUUGGGAUAACUUCAGGAAACUGGGGCUAAUACCGGAUAGGAGCUCCUGCUGCAUGGUGGGGGUUGGAAAGUUUCGGCGGGUGGGGAUGGACUCGCGGCUUAUCAGCCUGUUGGUGGGGUAGUGGCUUACCAAGGCUUUGACGGGUAGCCGGCCUGAGAGGGUGACCGGCCACAUUGGGACUGAGAUACGGCGCAGACUCCUACGGGAGGCAGCAGUGGGGAAUAUUGCACAAUGGGCGGAAGCCUGAUGCAGCAACGCCGCGUGCGGGAUGACGGCCUUCGGGUUGUAAACCGCUUUCGCCUGUGACGAAGCGUGAGUGACGGUAAUGAGUAAAGAAGCACCGGCUAACUACGUG
rnacentral:rRNA from 1 species